AGGUGUUUCUGGCCCAGGCAUUGAACCCACAAAGAAUUUAAAAGAUUAAACAGAGAAAAACAUCUCAACUCCACAAGCGUAUGUUUAUGAGGGACCUUCAUAAAGUGGUGAGUAUUUUUAACUUAUUUUUUUAUAUAUUAUUUUGACUUAAAACUCCAGAAAAGCAGUAGAAAGAGUGAGUGGAAAAUCAUCCGUCAGUUAGCGGGGGCUGCUAAUCAGCUCUCUGGUAGCUUCUGAGCUUUGAUUGUGCGUUUAAAAAUUUGUUGUCAAGAAGAAGAAACUAUAGCUUGAGAAAGCACUACACUAAAUGUAAAAUUGGUACAUGCCCUUGAAUGUAGGAUGUCUUUUAGCCUUUUUUGGUGGUUUUGAGGAGUUAUAAACUCUUUAUUUCCAUUAAGAUACCAAAAUACCAAAAUGUGCUUGGGCACGCCUUGUCGGCACGGCGGACCUGACUUACGCCACGUCACCGGCGGGGAACAAAAAUAGAGCCCCCAGUGUUAUUUCAGUGAAACUGUGAACUUAACUAACAUUGAGGAUACAUGGGGGGCAACAGAAAAAGCUUCAGAUUAAGCCAUCACAGAGCAACACCAACAUAAAGAGUCCUUUUCUAUCACGCUGAUGAAUUUAAAUUCACUCUUCACACUCUUUUAUUUGCUAAAAAUGCUCCAGAGUGUUCACCAACUACCAUUUAACUAUGUGUGUCUGAGGUCCUGAGCAGGUAUAGUGUACGGUGAGCCUUAAAGGUGCUGUCUCUGGAUAAAGCUGCCUGCUGCAACCAAAUAUACUGAUGUGAAGAACGAGAGUAAUAGGUACAGAUGUUGGCUAAAUAAAAAAUAUUAAACAAUGCCACAAAACUCUCAAAAGGGUUUGAUUUAAAUGGCUCAAAAAGUACAGUUAUGUCAAAGUACAGUUAAAAACAUUGGGAGUUCUAGGAAAUCAAACGCCUUGUAGGGAAAUCUGCUGUUUGGGUAUUGUGAAACCUUUCAGGACUGUAAAAAGACAUUUUCAACAUGCCAAAUCAGUAUACAAUCUAGAUUCACCUUAGCUUAACCACUUUAUUGUUCUUUCACUGAUUAUUGAAGAAUGUCUCACAUACUUUCUGAAGUCCUGUAGAUGUGGGGGUUUGAUGCUUUAUGUGCAUUUUAUGAAGACAUUUUCCCUCCACCCUUGUUUCAGCUGUAGAUUAAACAGACUUAUACACCCCUAUAUCUUGUUGAUCUAAGCCUUGGACACAAUUAAGUUAGCAAGAAAGUCAUCUCUCAUUGGGUAGUGACUUUUUAAUUGCCUAUAUUUCAGUCUCUCUCCUUGGUUCUCAAGGUUGCAGUCUAAACAUGGCAUACAUUAAAUACAUUAAAGCUCCAACAAAGUUUUAAGUGCAUUGGGAAUAAACAGUACAGUAUAGAAAGUAAUAAAGAAUCAUAGAAGUGAUAAACAAAUCAAUAUAUCUUGGAUAAAUAUGAAUUUUAAAAGCUUCAGGUACUUAACUUUUAAGUGCUGCUGCCUACUAUUUAAAAGUUUAUUGCAUAUUUUGUUUAAUGAAGAAAAUCACAGAUACUCUCCCACUGCUUCUGUUUUUUAAACUCAAAUGUAAAUGUGAAACCAGCCUGUUGUCAGUUUAUGAUAUGAAAAAGUGAACUGGGAAACUUUUGUAACUGCCGUACUACCUUGUUUAGAAGAAGGCAAACAAAGAAAUGGAUUACAAUAAGAUCUAAAACAGGGCAACACAAAACUUAACCGCAUAGUAUGAGCAAUACACUUCACAUUCACAGUCUCCCCUAAUGGUUAAUUUUGAUAGAAUAAAUAGGAUACCACCAAAUAUAAUACCAUACAAAAAAAUUCAGAAUAUAAUACAUUGUGUCACAGCACAACAUGAUGAGCUGUGGUGCAGUAUACUGUACAAUAUAUUUUGAUACAACACAUCUUAUGUUUAAACUCUGUCACUCCUGUUCAAACUAGCCUCUACAAAAUGAUACAAUGAAAUAUAAUAUAGUGAUAAAAUACAACAUACAAUGCAGUUUGACACAGAACAGUACGAUACAGACAGACACAACAUGUCAAGACACAUAAUGACAAAUAAUACAAUAUGAGACGAUACGAUAAGGUAUAAUAUAAUAAGAUAGGAUUUGAUACAUUAGGAUGGGACACAAUGAUACAGUGCAAUACAAUGUAAGUUAUGUGGUAUGUAAGAUAUUAUACCUUACAUACCACACCAAUCAACACAAUACUUAACCGUUUGCUUUAACACAACAUGAUACACUUCAAAUUUUUAGACUGUCUAGCUGACCCCACAGUAGCUUGAACAUUAGUAUUCGCCUUUUUCCCCAGCUGAUUCAGAUUGCACUGUUUGUUGUAUGCAGCUGAGACUAACCUGUUAAUGUCAGUGUUUCUCCUGAACCUAUUUCAGACAGCAUUUGAAAACUUCCUGUCAAAAGUUUUUCUUUUAAACUGCCUUCAAAGUUCUUUGGUAAAACACACAUUGAUGGACUUUGAGUAAAUUGAAGGAACUCUCUUAAUGUUCAGGGACUACGCGUAUAUAGAACAACUUAACAUAUUUAAGUGUGCUGUGAGAGGCGUCGGGUGGUUCAGUUUACCGCGUGCCCCCGCUGGCCUGCAAUUGAAUCCUACCAGAGCCGCUGCUUCCCUUCUGUCUCCCCCUCUGCUGUCUCAACAAUUAAAUCAGUCAAGGUGAGCGGGCUGCCCACUCGAUUUCUUUUUGUAUAAAAAAUAAAGCAACAGAUGAAAGCAUGGGCUCAUAUAACAGUCCACUUUGUGACCCACGACGCAAAAGAGUUGUCUUAUUAUGAAACAUUUCACCUGUGUGUCAGUGGUUGCCAUGGAGAUUUUGUGCAGAAAUGCGAGGCUCUACUUAAUGGUCUGACCUUAACCUUGCACUUUCUCGGCUGUACGCUUUCAUGAUGUUACAGACACAUGGGCAUAAUUUAUACCACAAAUCAAUAUUUCAGCAGCAACAGUCUAUUCUCUCACCUUCUCCUAACACAUGAAACAUUUCUUUUAUAUUGAUCCAGCCUUCAAUAAUCAUGUGGAAACUUGUAGAAACAGAUUCAGAUAUUUAUACAAAUACAUGUAAUGUUUUUUCUUGAACUGAUUUCCAAGUCUUGUAAAGCCUUGAAGCACCAUUUACAAACGUCACCCCUCCCCCAAUCUGCAUUUCUCUCUCUGCCCUUUUUUGCCCCUCUGUCCUGCUCUCUCUCUUUCUCUCUCUGUCUCUCUCUCACACUUUCUCUCUCUCUCUCUCUCUCUCUCUCUCUCUCUCCCCUCUCCACCCCCUACCCCCUCCUACAAGCUGUGUCUCUUUCCUGUGUGCUGGGGGGCCAGCAGAGGGGAAGUACACAGUGAAGGAAAAGCAUUCUCUGAGUUCAAGUGCACAGGCUUAAAGACACAGCUGGCUUCAACAAAAGGGAAUUUGACAAGGGGAAAACAGUCGCGGAAAGGCAGAAUAAUGACCUAUUGACAAGGCAGUUGUGUACACCCAGACAGUAUAGGGAUCAUUUCACAAAAAGAGUGGGGGGAGUGUAUAAAAUUUGAACAGGAAAACGGCGAAAAAUGUCUCCUCCCCUUCUCCUCUCUCCACGUAUACUCCUCCUAUUCCCUCCCACCUUUCUUUCUUUCAAUCUCUGUCCCUCCCUCUCUCCUUUCCUUCAUUCCUACCCAGCAUGCAUGCACGCUAACACACACACAGAUACACACACGAUGACUGAUGGCUUCUCUUGCAUUCUCCGUUUUCUCAGCUCUCCAUGUAGUGUAAGGUGGAACCGGUUCAGCACAGCUCCAGCACACCAUUCAGAGGGAAAAAAAGUACUAAUCCUGUACUUUUACCCCACGCUGCUGAUAUUCUUUGUCCAUAAGGCAUGUUUUCCUUCAAAGUCCCAAGCACGGAGGGGUGAAGAGGAGAGAAAUGGUGUCUGAGGAAGAGGAGAAUGAGGCGACAGCGGAUAAAAUGUGACGAGACUGGAGUGAAAUAGAGAUGCAAGGCUGCAAGUCAAGAGGGGAGGCACCAACUCGAGAGUGAGGGAGAGGGGACAGAGGAGGAAUCAAGUUGGAAUCGAGAAAGAAACGCGGGAAAAGGUAAAAAAAAAAAAAUAGAAAGGAAGCUGAUCCCUGAAACAUUAGCUGUAAUUCUUUUAUAUGGGGUCAGUUACCUCUAGAUGUGUGAUUUAGAGAGCAAAGUAGUCACAAACACACAUGAUUGUACACUUCUCGCUGCCUGUGUGCUCUUGUUUUAGUGCUUGGCUCUGCUGUACUCUGUGUUGGUUUGUGUACCUAAAGUCAUUUUCCUUCCUCCCACUCCCGCUGGAACAUUUUCCCAUGUCUCCAUUCUUCUCCCAAAACCCCUGCAAUGUCUUUUAUGUACUGUAUUUCCUUGACGGGAUAUUUAAGUUUUCUAAAAAUGAAAAAUUAACUCCUGCUUAAAAUCCUUGUUCAGAGUUGGUCAAAAACUCAGGCUUGUUUUGGGGCCCAGUUGUGAGGGCGAAGGGAAAUGAAGAACAGGGUCAGGGUACACACUUUCCUACCUAUACUAUAUUGGAAACGCGGUUAUGAAUUUAAUGAGUACUGAGGUCUUAGUUGGAGAGUGAAUUCCUGGGUUUGAAGAUUCAGCUGUUAUGAAAGUGUUAAAAAGAUGACACAAAGUAUUUGAAAUAUUUGCCCAUCAUCCUCCCUGCUCUGGAAUUGACACGUCCCACCCUCUUCUUCCCCUCACUGUGUGUCUGUGCUCUCAGUUUGUGUCCCUGUUACACUAUACAUAACCAAAGCUCAUAUUUGUCUCUCUGCAUCCACUAACGCCCAACCUACUGCUCCUGGUAGUCUUUAUACCUCAGCCCUGCUGCCCUGUUUGCUCUCAGCCUCGCUUCCAUUGUUACUAUUGACAAGUUACUGUUGUCCCACGCAUGUGCGCUGAAGGACCUGUGAUCCAUCCUCAUUCUGUCCCUGCUCUUCACAAGCCUGUCCAUCUCCAUGGAGAUCCGAUACCGGCUCCCAGUAACUGAACCCCUGACAUGCAAACAAACUCAUGAAGAUUUCCUAGUUUCCUCCCUGAUGGGGUGCACCAAUGAGUAAAGAGCAAACAUUGUGAAGAGGUGACUGUGCAGAUGUUCUCCUUGAUGGUCACGUUUUUGAAUUUCUUGACAUGAUGCAGCUGAGGAAAAUUAUCUUUGCAGAUAUCUUUUUUGGUUACGAGUGUUUUGGUGGCAAACACAGUCAAAUACAAUGUGUUUUUGGCCUUGUGCAUGAGCAUAAAUUUGAUCUAUAUUUUGGACAAAGAGUUGCCUGAUCUCGGUGAUGGAGUCCCUUUGAUAAUUGAAGUUUAAUACAAUGAACUCAUUCAGUUUAAACUCCAAGAGGAGCUCUUUUGCCUUAGCCUCAAUCAAAAAGUUUUAAUUCAAAAGUGAACAAAGUGUGAGAACCUAAAGAAAUCAAAUUACAAAAUCUGCUCAUUUUAUUAUCAAAAUUGUUCUGGGUAAAUAGGUAACAAACGGAGAGUUUGCAUUGCACCAAUAGUUAGUUGGUCUAUUUCCCUGAUGAGUUUAAAUGCUAAUCAUGUUUUAUUAACAAAUCGGUAAAGUUUCAGAGCAAAGUUGCAGCAGGAGCCAUUUUCAGAGUCCAAGUUGAUUUGAUUUGGAUGCUUGAAUUUCUUAUGUUCAAGCCUAAAAUAUUCAAUUCACUGUCCUAGAAACUUGAGUAAACCAGGAGAAACUCAUAUUAGAGAUAUGGAAAUAUGUGAUAUGACUGCGAACUAUACUGAAUGUUCUUUCAACGCCUUAAUCAGUUUUGUUAUCGAGCCAAGGAGGCACCAUACCAUUCUUUCUUUUUCCUCUUUCAUAAAGACUCCAUCUAAGAUGCUCAUCAAAGUCAGCACGCCUCUCUGUAUGCUGUGGCUCAAUGACACUUGAACAAUAGCAGGCUUUGUUUUGGUAUCAAACCACUUCUUUCAACUUUAACAGAUUUUAGUUUUAAUCUUUCAAAGCCCAUUGUUAUACUGCUACAUGCUCUGAUACCUGCGGAGGAAAUAGUCUGCCUGUUGCCUCCACAUAGGUUUUCCCCGUAUUUAUUUGAUUAAACCAUUGAAAGAAAAAAAAUAUUAAUUAUAACAAUACGACUAAAAUUCCAAUGCCCUGUUUGUGCACGUUCCGCUCCAUAAAUAUUGAUCUUAUUAUCUCCUUUUGAUUAAACAUUUAAUUCUUGCAAAAGAUAAAAAGAGAAGGAAACCUUUAAUAAGUGAGAGCCUCUUGCUGCUGUCGUGUCAGGCUAUCAUAUCAUGAUGUUUAAAGCAGAGGAGCAAUCGAGGCAUUCAGUGCAUCUCUAAAGCGAUGUUUCUUUAUAACUUCACUGAAUACUUGAGCAGAAAUAAUGGAUUACUGCGGCUCAUUGUAGUGACAAUGAAUGUGUAAGUUAUAUAAAAGCUCCUCAACCUGAGGCCGUCACAAAUGAUCUAAACAUAAGAGCUCAGAGGAAGCCUUUCAUAUGUCUCACUUUAUAAAACAUAGCUCAGCCUUCGCUAUCAAUUAUGUUGCUCCAGCAUGAAAGAGAUGGCAAAAAGGGCCACACACAACAGGCGUCGUGGAGAGACAUCGCUGCACCAUGUGACUGCUGUGGAUGGACUGAUGCUCUCUCACGGCUGCAUCAGUGUUAGUCAGCCUGCUUGAGGACAGAGGGCUGACACAGGACGAGAGCUGAGGGGGCUUCAGUGCUUUACAGACACAGAGAUGAAGAGAUUUCUACGGUGCCAUAAAGUUUUUGAGCUCUUUUAUUUGGAGGUGCAGGUCUUUGGUCAAUCGGGUUGUUGCUAAGUUUGAGAUUGUUGAUUACUUUAGAUGCAUUUGUCUUUGUGAGGUACAUUUUUAAAUUUAUUUCAUAAGAUUUUCCUCUGUACUCCUCUGCAUUCAUAUGAAUGACACUUUUUUUUAAAUACCCUAAUUACUAAUGAAGCAUAUUACUGACUUGUUCAACAUGAUGCCAUUCCAAAGAUCUAAGUGACCUAAGAAUACAAUAAAAACCUACCCAGGGUAUUUUCAUUUUCACUUUAAAUUAUUGCUGUUUGACAUUGUGCUUGGUGUAUUCAAAAGUGUUUGAAAAAACAGAUAAAAGACACGAUUAUUUUGCACAUUAACAACGAGUCACCUCAACAAGCAAGGUUUUUCUUUUUGUAAAUGGUUAUUUCAGCUAUGAAAUACUGUGGCUGUAAAAGAUAUGUUUACUGGCAGUGGUUUGUCUGAGGUGUUUCCAGACUUUUUCUGUCAGCUGUCUUAAAUUCAAAAUUAUGAUUUCCAUGAGAAGCCAGGCUUGGCCGAUAUGCAGCAGGCUCAGGUGAAAUCUGCCUCGAGUAAAUGUGCAGUGUGAUCUACAUGUCCAUAAUGAGGCUGCUUAAUACUGCUAUUGUUCACCAGUAUCAUUUGUAUGAUUUGAUGACAUGAUGCCUAAAUCCAUGUAUGCAGAUUCACAUAAAUUGCUUCACCCAGACUAUAUAGCCAAUUUUCUUGUCCCGUUCCGCCCCCUAAGGCCCCCCACUUUGAAAAAGAAAAAUAAUAAAAUAAAUCUAUCAGUAUGAAAUAUCCUGGAUGUCUCGAAAUGUUCCUGAAAUUUUCAGGGAUGCAUUUGUGUUAAUAGAACAGGUCUUCCCUUUCACUUCACAUUCUCCAUGAAUCAAUCAAUUAAUACCUUUGAUUCAAGGAAAAUGGUAUUCAUAAGGUGGUGUGGAAAGAAACACUUUAUAUGAACUCACCUUUUACAAUGCAUCAUAGACACACACAUAGUUAUCUUUAGACUUUUUCUUGGCACUCAGGUAUAACCCAUUCAAACCAUACCUUUAUAAGGCAUUUUGCUUACUGCUUAUAACACUCCAUAAACAUUGCUGUAAGCUGUUAUGAAUGCUUUUUUAUCACUCAUAAGGAUAAUUAUAAAGCCUUGUAGAGGCAUUAAUAGGGCAUUACAAAUGUGCUUAUGGUGCACUAUAAGAAAAAAAAAUUGCUUUGGAUAAGUUUUACUCAGGCUAUAACUCCCCCUAAAAAUAAAACAAGUUUUUAAUCUGUUUUACUGAGACAUUUUGCAUGCUUCAGCAAAUACCUGGGUCAAUAUCAUUAAUCCUUUCUACUCCCUUUACCUUUAAAAAUUUUAAUUACAGACCCAUAGAUUUUCUGUUUAUUUUGAUCAAAUUCUGAUUCCUAAAAGUCCUUUUUCUUGAGCAGCUAAGCAAAUGCUUCGUUAAUUUUAGUUUUUUUUUUUUUUUUUUAAUCUUUCAGUACACAAAGUGAUGGAACUUUUUAGCUAUUAACAAUAAGUGAGUUUGUCUACAUUUGUAACAGGAUAUCAGGGUAUCAGUGUACAAAUGACCACAGGUUGACUUUCAUUAAGAUCAGGUGUGAAUUUAACCGUAUUAGGUUGAAUAUUAUGUUGUCUUAAUUGAGUUUCUCUUCUUUCACUGCAGCGUUAGCCUCUAGCGACCGAGCUGGUAUCAAUGAAUAGUUCCUCAUGCGGGGGCCAGGUGGCUGCCUGGUGCAUUCAGAUGGUGGCUAAGGUGGUGAGGUGGGGGUUAAUAUUUGCAGGCUGUAGGAAUGUGUUUGGAGUCAGCAGAGAGAAUUCCUCAGUUCUGCAUUAGUAGGUCUCAGCGUUACCUCUUACCUCGACAAACUAUCUCAAUCCCAUCUUGUCUGCCUUGCUCCUGAUGCAUGUCUUCAUCCUCUACGUUGUGUCUGGUGUUUUGAUCCUCAGUGUCUCACCUCCUCUCUUUUUUUUUUUUAAAGAUGUCUCGAAGAAGCCUAAAGAGCUUCAGGAUUUGGGGGUUGGGUAAAAAGCAAGAGAUAAUGAAACUGUGUGAGUGCAAAGAUGUUCCCACACAGUGCUCUGGUAGCUUCGUGUCCUUGCCUGUAUGUCACUCAUGUCUGAUUUAAGGGGCAGGUUCCGAAGCAUGGGCUUUGUUGUUGUCAUCAAGUAUUUUCAUAUGUCAUCUCACCACUUGCGUCAAGUGCAGACCAGGAAAUAGUCACCACUUGUCCACACAAUCACUGUUUUUACACACAUAGAAGAUACAAAAACUAUAAACCAGCAGCAAAAACAAUCCUCCCAAAAUCAUUUUUGAAAUUGGUGUUAAAAGAUUUGUAAAGACAAAAUUAAUCACCUUACAGGGCAAGUGGCCACAGGAACUGGAUCAGAUUUUUUAUAAAGGGUUUCUGAGAAUAGAAAUGGUUGUGUUUUGUUGCUUAUGAGCUCUGCAUUGUCCUCUUUUACAAAAUAUGCACAGUACUUACCAGCUGCAGCCUUACAGGCAACAGGCCCCCCUACCUAGCAUGCUGAAAAUGCUCUUGGUGUGUGUGAAGAGAAAUAUAACCUGAUUUUUUUUUUUUUACUGAACAAUGCCAAUUCUUAAAACUUAUCAUACAGUUUCAAGGAAACAAAGCCUCAUUUAUGUAAGUGGCAUAUUUAAGGAACAUUUUGUGGUAAAACUUUUUUUAGCAAUUCUAAAAAUGUAUUAUAAAAGACAAUAAAACAUUGUCUAAACUGCUUUUAAAUUUCAAAAUUAACAUAAAGUAAGAAUUAAGAGCAUAUGCCAUCAUUGUAAAAUAUAUUACAAUGCCAAGUCUUUAAAUCAGUUGUAAAACUAUAAUAAACUUGGUAUCUUACUGUGAUUUAUGAAAAAUAAGCAAUGGGAAACAACUGUGUUUUUUUAAGUUAUUACAUUAAUAUAUUAAUUCAACAAAGAUUUUAGAUCACCGUAGCCUGAGGCCUUAAAACGUCUUAGAGUACGUAGACCGAGUGGUUAGAAGCAUCGUUGCAUCUCCCCCAGCAACAUAUUGAUGUCAUUCACAAGGCUCUUCAUUACGCUUUGCAGUGAUACACGCACUCUGCAGAGGCGUCGGAGGUGUCGGCUACCCGCAUCACUCAGCGACACCAUGGAGUGUGCCAACUCUCUGGUGCCAGACAGAGAGGAGGAGGAGAGGUGGGCACGGUGUGAAGAUGGAGGGGAAAGACAGAGGAAGGUGUAAAGAAACAGGCCGUCUCUAAUUCAUACAUGUGGACAAAAAAGCAAAGAGAGGACACAUUUGAAGGAAGGAGGAAAAAAGAUAAGGAAGGUAGCAAAGAGGAGGACGCAUUGGUGUUUAUUGUCUGGCAGCUCAGUGAAUCACUAGGAAGAGCGCCUCACGGUUCAAGGUUUCGACAGCUCCUAAGUGAUAAAAAUUAGUCAGCCUGAUGGCAGAAAAUCAACUGGUUGAAGUGAAAGUACAUAAAUAUUAGCUGUCAGUGUAUAAAAUAUCAUCGCAACAAACUUCCCAGGUCAAAGAUUCAGGAGUCACUGGUCGAAGUAAAGCUGCCGGCUGUUCUCUGGUCAGUCUGAGUCGUCAGGGUCACAUCUGUAAGAUGAAAGGAGAGGCUGCGGUUGGUUGCUUCCACAGAGGGAUGGAAAGGUCAGGAAGUGGCCCCAGCACAAACACCAGACUCAUUGUUCAAGUUCAAGGUAACACUGAAUGGGGGUUUCAUUCAGUUAGCUCAGCCGGCCGUCCUUUGACAAGUUGCUGUUUUUAAAAGGGUCUUAAAUGGAGGAAAACAGAGCCAACGGCUACGUCUGACUUUGGUGUCAUGCUGUUAUAAUUGUUAACUAAUUAUGUCGCUUUUAUAUAUUUAAUUAGGGUUUUGGUGUGGAUUGGGGUUUUGAGUAGUUGCCUGUUUGGUUUGCCAUAAGACCUUAUCAAUGUGUGUUUCAGUGUGUGUGUGUGUGUGUGUGUGUGUGUGUGUGUGUCUGUGUGUGUAUGCACGUGGCCAUCGCUCAGGUGUGUCCACUCCCUGACCUCUCAGACAAUGAACAAGGUCACAGUCAGAGGGUCAGAUGUCAGGGCAUCGUUUCCCCCCUCUCCUCCCUCUUACCCUCCCUCUCUGUUGUGUCUGCUCGGUCGUCGGCUCCUCAUUAACUCCUCACAGGGGAUUUCCUGUUCUCCUCCUUUGCCUCCCUGUUCCUGUUCCAAAAUGGAGCAGCAAAUUAGCUCUCUUUACAAAACAUUAAUAAUUCAAUCUUUUGAGCCGAAUAUGCAAACCAACACACCUCCAAGUUGUACUUACAUACGCUUGGAAAGUGAGAAAGGUAGUCAGAGCAUGAUUGGAUUGGCUACUGUGCCAAACCUUUGGGAAGUGUAGGGCUGUAAUUGAUGACUUUGUGCACCAUACAACAAGUACACAUCCACACACACACACAAACACGUGCGCACAAACACAUAAUUCAGAGUCUGACUCACCCCCUGUAACAGAAAGUCAAUAACAAUACAGGAAUGAUUAAUCAGUCCCUCUGUGGCCCCGCCCUCUCCACUCACCACCUUCCACUCGCUCUCCUACACCCUGCUUACCCGCUCUCAGCUUGGUAUUGAUCUGAAUGCAUUUGCCUCCCAUUUAUCCGUUAGCCCUCACUCCCACACCCCCAUCGUAUAAACACUGCCACUGCAUCGAACGGUCACAAAGAACCUUUUGCAGAGUGUCUCCAAUGCACACAAAUAAACACACACACUCACAAGCACACGCACAUGCACUCACAGCAGCAGUGUGCACACCAUCUGAUCUCCGAUAGGUAUAACACUUAACUGCAUCGCACACAGGGAUUUGUUUUGAAUGUUCCAAAGUGCGAAUUUUGCGUGCGGUUGUGUUUGUUUGUUGCGCACGCAUUUCCCUAAACACAAGCUACAUUCUUUAAGGUUUAACUGACAGCUCAUUCGACCCCCCUUGUUUCACUCAUACCCAUUCUGGUUGGUGGCACACAGGUUGCCAUGACACCAGACUGUUUUGUCUGCCCUUUGACCCCUUUAAGGGGUGCUGUGGUCAAUCAGGCAUUACAUGUGAGGGGCAAAUAGGAGGGAGGUGAGGGAGGGGGGUUGCAUUUCCUCUGUAAAAAAUGGGGUCCUAAAGGUUCCCCUCAUACAUCCGCUCUGUACGGAGCAGAAGGUGGGGAGCCUCUGAGCAGUUUGCCGUGAAACAAAGACACAUGUGCACAUGCAGACAUGGCAGCACUGUGCAGGGGUAAAUGAACUAGGCUGGAGCUCCCAGGGGGCGGAGAGUUAUUAUGCUCAUUGUGCAGUCGGCCAGCUAAAGCUGUUGGCUGCUUCUUUUGAAGUUAUAUUUAUCAAAACGGAGCAGGAGGCUUAGCACUCCAAGCUGGUGCUCAGCUUUGUCCACACUGUAGAGCGCAUGUGUGCAUGAUGAUCACUGCCUGAUAUCAAUAUUUGAAGAGCAACUUAAAUGUUUGUCUAAACCGGAAAAAGGAGCAUGAAAGUGAAUUUAUGUUGCAGUGUGUCAUCAGUGGAAUUCUUGGGAAAGACUGAUGAUGAUAUUAAUAACCCAUGACAGAGUCUGGAUCAUCAGGCAGCAAGUGUACACAGUGAACUUGGAGCUGAUUGUGUUUGGAUAAUUUGGCAAAUAUUCUGGCGUGUAUUAAGUCGGCAUACAAGUAAUUAAGCAAGCAAAACAUUAAUGUCAGGCAUGACUUUUAAAUGGAGCAAUUAUGUCUUUCCCUAAAAGUGAAUGAGUCACGUCUCCUAAUAAAAUAUGGACUGACAGUCAAUGUAAGGAUGGAAACUCCCCAUAAACCUAUUUAUUUAUUAUAACCAUAUCUAACCAUUUUAUUUUAAAUAAAUUUUAGUGGAAAGCAAAAGAACAAAAGAGUUGCCGUGUGUGAAUAACUCACUAUUGUGAGUUUUCGGUCUCCAUGGUCAUGAGAUUCAAAGAGGAUUUUUUUUUUCUUUCUUUUUUUAGUGAAUACACAAUGACUCUAAAAGUGACCAUUCAUGUUGCACUCUGCAGUCGAUGCUGUCAGGCAGAGCAGCUCAGGUGUAAGUCAGUAGCUUUCACGGCCUCGUCCACCGUCACUUCAGCUGUUGCAGAGGUUGAACCUGUGACCUCUCAGUUAAACAGUCUCUCCAUUCACAAGGCCAGUUUGUCUCCCUGUAACCUCAUUGUGUGUUUGUGUGUGUGUGUGUGUGUGUGUGUGUGUGUGUGUGUGUGUGUGUGUGUGUGUGUGUGUGUGUGUGUGUGUGUGUGUGUGUGUGUGUGUGUGUGUGUGUGUGUGUGUGUGUGUGCAUCACUUAGCCUCAAGCUUCAUGUCUGCUGAGGAAUACUAAAGACUGCGCUUUGUCAGAGGAGUGAUUACAGGGUUCAUCAAAUCAUUGAUAUUUCUUCAAAUGUACACAUACUUCUUACAAAUGCCAUUGUAUGUUAAAGCACACAAAGCUUUGUACAUUUUUUCUUGAAGAUCGAAGGCCUCUUUAAAAGAUGCUGCAUCUGUAUUUCUCACAACAAUGUUCAUCUGUAGACGUCAUAAAUUCUAUGAAAUUAAAUCAAUGGAAGUUAAUUUGUUUUAACUCUUUACCAUCACCAUUAGAAGUGUCUGCAUGUUCUCAUCAUUUCAAGGCUUUGGUUCAUACACCAUUAAAAAAUAGUCACACUGACCUUAACAUUUCAUUUAUUUGUAAAAAUGCAACCAAAUUGUCUUUCAAUCGCAUAAAUUCAACACUAUUACUGCUUUAAAAGAUGUGAACAAAACUAGAUUCAUUUAUCCAUGCUGAGUUUUUACCUCCAGCUUGUUUUCAAUUUGUGGUCCUCAUUGCUCCAGAUGUAAGUACUGUGCUAUUAAUAACAAAACAAACAAACAAACAAAAAAACAGACCCACGAAUGUACCAGGUUCCGUUCACUCUUCAGCUUUUUCUUUCAAAAAAACUGUCUGGUGCGACAGAAUCAUUUUUUAUGUCUUGCUAUGCUCUCAGUUAAUGGAAGCUAAAGCCUGUUUUGAUGUCAGUCAAAGGUAAUAUGGUUUAGAUGUUUUGUAGGUCAGUCUAGCUCUGUUCAAGUGUCCUUACUCACUUAAUUUACUUCUUAACUCUGUAUCUCCGAUGACUUUUUGAAAGGUUGUAAGCUAAGUAAGGGCUGCGAAAAAAAUGCAAACACACACACUCACACAUCUUGACUAAUAUACACCUAGGGAGUAAUAGAUUGAAGGAACCAUAAAGCGCUUUACACAUUUAUCUAAAGAGGAUUAGCUGCCCUUGGCAUAAUGUAAUCUCAGAGGAUAAUUAAGAACAUUCAAGUGCUUCUUAAAAAAAGCCUAUAGAAGCUUAAAUUAAAAUAACAAUCAUGUUAUUUUGUUAGUAUUCAAAAGAGAUACAAUCCUAAAAUCUUUCAUGUCUUUUUUAUCAUGAUUUUCCUUCAAAAUGCUGAACAUAUUGAUAUUAUAUUUGGGGAUGAGGCAUCAUUUCGCAGUAGUAUUGCCUUAGUGCAGCCUUAUUUGUGAAAACAAGAGGGUGGGUUUUUUUUCUUAUCAGGUAUGACCAACACACACACACACACACACACACACACACACACACACACACACACACACACACACACACACACACACACACACACACCUCAUCUGCUUUGAAACCAAGGGCAAAUUUUCCAUCGUGCAUUUGAUUGGGAAGUUUGAAUGGGCGGCGCUUAAAGAGGCCAGACACGACCAAUCCCAGCAUACGUGGAUUGACAGCUGUGCCAUAGCAACAGUUUGGCUAGUCGCCAGUCUGUUGGAGUUGCCAGGCAAAAGGUUCCCAUGGCAACAUUCACUUUGCCAUGGUGGUAUACGAGGCUGGCGCCUACCAAAGCAGAUUAGUGUAGAAUCGAGCAGUGCUCUCACCUGGGGAAAAAACACGUGCAUAUAUUUCAGCAGAGAAGAGCUGGCAAACAGAUGUUAGCCUCGUUCAGAUGUUAUAGCAUUACACAUACAGUUAAACUGAACAGGUGUGUUGAAAUCCGCUGCCACUGUACACUUAGCCUGAGGAGGAAUUUCUAUUUUUCUGUUUCCUCUAAAUUGCAUCAUGUUUGUUUUAUCACAUUAAGUAUAAAAGCCUGACAGUGAAAUUGUCUUUUUUUCCCCCUGUAACCAUCAAGUGUCACUGUAUGCAGAUGAUGAUCAAGUGUUUAGAGGAAAGUUGAACUUGAAUUAAGGUGCAGCUUUUAUGAAUCACAGCAGACAGUUUUUUUUUUUUAAUCAAGGAAAAGUCUUGCACAGCAUAGACACCCAGACAGGACUGCUUCAGGGGGGAGUGAGCAAGAGAAAGAGAAAGACAGAGAGAGAGAGAGAGAGAGAGAGAGAGAGCAAGGGGGAGAAAGAAGGAUAGCUGACAUUGGCACAAUUACACUGCAUUUCUGCGUGAUACGACUGUGAAAAUAUUGCAGACGCCGGGCAUUAAGUGAAGAGGAGGUUAUAGGUGUGAGAGAAAAAAGGGCUAGUCUGCUUGUGAGUAUAGAAAGAGGCAGGAGGGGGGUACAAAGACAGAGGGUGGCUGAAAGGGUAAGAGGCGGGAAAUGUGGACCCAUGAGGGCUGGUAGUGGAGAAAAGGUUGGGUGAGUGAAGGAAGAAAAGAGAGGAUAGGAUAGCUGAGGAUAGGAGGGGAGGGGAUGCACUUUGGGACAAUGAAAGAGACUGGUAGCAGCAGGCAGAGGAGGACUGGGACUCGACAUACAAACCAGAGAGGAGUAGAGGAGGAGAAAAGAGGAAACAAAUUCACCUGGCAACAUUUUCAUGUGUCCUGAUUGGCUAAUGUGUUUCACAGUCCGCCUUCUGGGUUCUUCUUCUGUGUCUUCAAUGUAACAGUAAUGUGUGGUGUAUGAUAUUGACACAUGUUUUGUAUUGGAGAUGUUCCUUUUUGGUAGACAGGUCCUUUAAUGCCAACAUGUCAAAUAAGGCUCUUGUGCAGGAAGUGAAAAAAGAAAAUCAGGUUUGGACGAUACUUGUUUGAAAUCAUCCUUAUGUUAGACACAUUUGCACAUUUAUUUCUAUCUUGUUUAUGCUCUGCUAACACUCUUGACUCACUUUCACAAAGCAGAUCAUCUUACCCUUGUUAAGUCUAUCUGUGUCCGUGUCGGGAACCGUAACUCUCCCAGUCCAUAACUCUCAGUAUGCAUCGUGCCAGCUGAUGUAGAGCCGCACGCAACAAUUGCGACUUCAACGGAGAGAAUCUGCACACAAAACAAGUUUAAGUGUAAUAUCUUUCAGUCAGUGUGACAAGCGGGAAGCUCCAAUUGUCUUCAUUGUGCAGCAGAAGUCACACAGAUUUAGAUGUCAGCCCUGACAGCUGACUUAAUGGUGAUGACAGUGUUAUGGCAGUUGGUAUUAAACUCCCAUGAAAACCUGUCAGCUUUAAAGUGAAAUCAGACAGUUGAUUUGGAUAAAACACUUCAAAAUGUGUGAGUGCGUGAAGGCAAAACCAAACAAAAAAAAGGGCUUAGUUAUGAGAGGGAGAUAAGAGCUGGUGACUAUCUAAUGCUUAAGAGGGGAGCAGAAGUUAGAAAAAGUGUCAGCUUUCAAGGGAGAAAAGGUCGCUCACCUACACUGUCUUGUUUGCCAAGCCUUGACUGUUCAUAUACAGCAUUUUGCAGGCUGCAUCCUUGCUCUGUUGGAGUCUGUUGACAUUAGAAGGCAGACAGAGGGAGUUCACACAGUCGCCAGUAGAGGGCAACAACUCCUCAGAGAUGGGGGGAAAUACUAUGAAUGGACGCAGAGCAUGAAGUCUUUGUAGUAGUCACACCUGUAUGAGAGGCUUAGCUGUGUGGAAACAGAUUUUCAUACUGCUGUUCCAGUGUUUGUCCGAAACACAUCUGUUGUGUCAUAUUUUGAUUCAUGCUGACUUAUUAUUUUCACAGCUCUUUCAUUCUUUGAGCUGGUUCAUCUUUGUCCUUCAUGGAAAACUGCAUAUGUGCAGUUCGACUCUUGUCAUGUGCAUACACCAUUCCUGCUCUUGAUAAGUUAACUGCAGGCUUUGGUGCAGGCCUUAGGCUUGAGUAACCUCCUCUGCAUCAAUUCUAGUGGCGAAACAGCCGGUGUAGUCCCCUUCAGUCUGUAGUUGACUCUGAGACUAUAUUUUUUACAGCAGUUGCUGCAGUCCAGCACUUUUUGCAAAUUUGCCGCACUAUUUUUACAUCGCAGCUCCUCAGGCAAAAUUACAACAUAAUUCCCCCUCAGCUGUCCCACCACUUGCUCUAAAAUGUCCAAUUUAUUUAUCUUAAAUCAGAGCUAAAUAAAAAAAAUGGGAUUCAGUAACACAAAAAACAUGAUUAAAAACAAAAUUAGAUGAAUAAAUCCUGCAGGUCUGCAUAUGUGAGUCUGUAAAAUGGCUUACUGAUUUAGUAAGGACAACAUUAUGUGCUUAUAUUGUUGUUGUCAUGUGUACUUUAAAGGCCUACCGAGAAUCAGGAUUCACAGAGUAGCUAAGACUAUAAAUAUCAUAAUGUUUAGAUCUGGUUUCAAUCUUAUGGACUUGUCCCUGGACAAAUAAACAAAGUAAACAUAAUAAAAUACAGCCGAGAAAACAGGCCUGUUAGAAAUGGUUGGCUCAAUUUCCAAAACGAGACAUAUAUGUAGGGAGUGUUGAACACCUCUGCCCUGUUGGUGAAGACCUCGACCGGAGAGCAGCACUAUGGUCUGUGCUCUGCAGUAUGAGGUAGUUGGUUGUAUGGUUUCGCAUAAUAAACAGCACGGAGAUAACUGUACAACCUUCUAGCUUUCACUGCGGAGUCACCUUUUGCUUCCACUGAUGUGCCCCCAGCUGAGAGGUAAGUGUGUAGUUACUCCACCUGACAGUGUCCUUGAUGCUAAAUGACAUGACUUCUGACACACCACAGAGACCUCUAAACGCUCUACCCUCGCAGCAAAUGUAAAAACUCCCCUAUGAGCCUCUGUGAGGUCAGACAAGGGACUUAAGUGUUUGAUCAAUUUUUCUACUUUUAUUUGUAUUUUUUUAAGAGUUUUUGAACAGAGAAAAUAAACAUCCAGAGUAGCUCAUGAUUAUUAUGAUAUUAACCAAAUUCUUCAUGGAAAACUAAUGGGGGAAAAUGCUAUCAGUCAGUUAAGGAAAGGCAAGACAAGGAACCCACUGAGCAUUUUUUGGUCUAAAAGAGGUCUGUCAAAAUGUAGCCUAGACAACUGGUCUAAAAUCAGGCUACCACAGGUCUAAAAACGAAAGGUGUUUAGUCGUCUAAAUUUAGACCAAGUUUAGACCAAGUCUAAAUCUGGGCUAUAUCUAUACUCCACUGUAUAUUGCUUAUCAUAACUAUCAUAUCAUAAUUAUUUUGGUUAAGUACUUGAAGAUCAGGUAUGCAACUCACAGUUGCUUUUUGAAAUAAAUAGUUAUCGAAUAAUGGGUUAGAGUGCGACAUCUAAAUUCUGUCUAAAAAUAUACAGAAUCUAGACGGUUAAAAUUAGGUCUAAAAAAAAGCUAGACGUCUAAUAGCCGUCUAUUGCUCAGUGGAAACAAGCAACACAUAACUUUAUAAACUUUACUCAGAAACACAACAUAAGGACUUACAUGUCAUUGUCCAGUUCUAACAAUGUUUAAAAUAAGUUUAAUAAGUUUCUAACUUCUUGUGUUAUUCUGUGUUUUACAUUGUCUACACUUGUCUGUCUGUUAAUAGAUAUCCUGAACUGGCAACCAAACUCUCUUGUUUUAGAGCAGGUAGAGAACCAAGCGUUCAACUUUCAUCUUCUCUGACAUGAUUUAUGGCCACACACUGUGGUAAAGGCUCGCUAGCUACUCUACAUCUUCAUUGUUUUCCCUCCAUUUUUCACCACCACCUGCUACUUUGAACCCAUGAGUAUAUGCUUAUUUUCAACCCGGUAUCAAUCUAUCUGUCUUUUAAAAACACAUCCUUAAUUAAUACCAGUGUACUGCAACAGCCCCAUUUGUGUGCAACAAUAUACAAAUGCUUAUCUUAAGAAAGCUUUUCAAGAAAUUAGACACCUCUUUGUUUUUUACAUAACAGAAAUGUAGUGACAGUUUUUUUUAGAAAAGAAGAAAAAGUUGGAAGAUUCUGUUGUGCUUGUACAAAAGUUUGACUCUUUUCUAUAUUCAGUAUAAAGAAAUUGACAACUUUCUUACCCUUAUCAUUGUCUUAUAAGCCACACCACAACAUUAAAAACAUGUCAUACAUGUAAAUAAAACAGGUUAUGAACAUUGAACAAAGCCUGGAUAUUUAAGUCAGAGACACCCCACUUGUUUUUGACGCUAAUGUAAAUUGCAUGUAGCUCUACCAUUACUUAUGCUUCUGUUACCACUGUGUGCAUCCCACAUCCCCCCUAACACACACACUAUGGCAAUAAUUUCUCUACUUUCAUUACCCCGCAACACAUCCUCCUCCCUCACCCACAGUGUGUCAGACUGCUGGUUGAGACAGCAGCCAUCUGCAGUGCGUUACAGCCGACUCUCCUCCCCUCCUCCUGGUUUGGAGGGAAAUAGCGGGCAUAUAUCAGAAUUGUGCUGAUUCGGCACUGCCGGUGGUAGCCUUCUUUAUCAUCCAACGCACGAUGCUGCUCUCCUGCCAGAAGAGACAGGUGAACAUCUGACAGUGUUCAAGGUGUGUGAGGGGAGGAUGAUGACUUCAAGUUAUUUGGCCUCCUCUCUCUCUCUCACUCUCUCUGUCUCUCUGUCUCUCUGUCUACCUCUUUCUCUCUCUCUCUUUGACACACAUAUUCAUACACACGUACAUAUACUAAGGGUUGUCUUUACUGGCAUCAGGUUGUGUUUGGCUCACUUUCUAGCCUGGCAGAUGCUGCACACUGUGCAUAUGUGUGAGCAGAUUGCUUAAAAAGAUCGUAUUUUUGUGCGUCUCUGCACAUAAGCUGCUCUAAAAAAUGUCUUUAAGGCUGUGGAGCUGAAAUUGUACAACACCGCCAGUACAAAGCAGCAACGGCUCCUUGAAGCUCCCUAAGUUUAUGUUCACAACAUUUGCCCUGUAAAGCAUGUUACGCCUAGUUUGUGUUUUGACUUUGCAAACACAAACAGGUGUGCUGAAGAAGAGGCAUGUGCUGCCAAACGUUGAGAUGCUUUUCCCGAUCUCCUAAAAUGAAACAGAGGAGUGGAGCACCCCAGUCCUGAGACAGACAAGGCAGACACCAUCCCAGACUGGUGAUGUCAUCUCUGUGCACUCCCAGUGCUUUGUCUCUCUAUGGCACUGCAGAGAGCAGCCGCAGGCACACACACACAUCAAGACACACACGCUCACCUGUCUGCCUGUGACAUUCUGCAUUUGUCACUCAGGUUGGGGCUCUGUUCAAGCCUGAGAAAAAGCAGCUUUGUCUUGGUUUUUGAAACUAAAUUGUGCGACUGAAAGCUCUUGUCUUAAAUGCAUGCGCUUUUAUGGUCUGCUCUCGAGAGGACAGACAGAGGACAGCAGGCAGAGACUCCUGCACUUUAAUCGAUUCACGGUCUGUGUGCUGUAAAUGUACAGAAAUUUGUCUUGGUGACAUUAAUGUUUGAUCAGAUAGGAUUUAUGUGCAGCACAAGCACAUACAGCUCAGAUACUCACAUUCAGUGCAGCGCAGAUAGUGUAAACACAUUCAGUAUGUUGUUUCUAUGCAAAUGAAGGUGGCAUGGCAUUACAGUAUGAUUGCGGAUACGGAGGAGGAUGUGGAGAGUCCUGUAGUGCAUCAGGGCUGUGUAUAAGACAGUUCAGAGAAAAAGGAUCAGAGCAAGAAAUAAACGCAGUGUGUGUGUCUGGAAUACCUGCUGCAGGAGUGAGACAGGCUUGUCUAUAGGCAGUGUGGGUAUAUAAUGAAUAUUCACGAGGUCUUAUGAGUGUAUAGCGUAGUGAUUUUAGUCUAACCUACAUUUCUGAAAGGUUGGAUCAUCUUCUAGCAUAUUUAAAAAGCAGAAGCUUCAAUGGAGGAGGUGAGGUUGAGUUUUGUCUCCGACAGGCUUUCAAUUCAUCCCUUGAUGCAGCAACAGAUCAGCUGUUUGCGCUUAUACUUUUCCCAUUCGAUACCCUGAUAUUAGUGCUAAUUAGCUGUCCAUUCCAAGGGUGUCACCACCAAUCGCUCCUUUAGGUGAAAAAUCCAUUUCUUUUCUGACAGUUUACCCUCAUUUCCUCCAAAUGUCUGACACAUUGGUGAUGUUGUCCGUAGUAGUGGGAACACUUUGGGGCCAUUAAUGAUGCUCACACAUCAAGUGUAGUGUUUACGCUCCAUACCCCUGAACAGAAAGCUAAUCAGGGGCUCUGAAUUAGAUUUACUUUCAUUUCUGGAUUCCCCUCAGGCAUGUAUGAUUUUAUUAUCCGACAAACACAACUUUCCGGCCUCUUGGAGAGUAGCACUCGUAUAAGAAUCAACCUGCUUUUAGACAUGUGAGCUCACCGAGCAGCCCAAAAGACACGAGAAAUAAAACAAAAUUAUAGAGCAUUAAAUAUGCAAAACUGUUGCAAUGUCUUUGUUUGUGCAUGCAACACAAAGUGUGGGUGUGCAUGCAGGUUCCUAUGAGGAAUUAAUUAAGCUUAAAGUCAAGUUUUUGCACCAUUUGGAUUGGUUUUAGUUGCAGUGAACCGCAGACUGCACAUCGUCUACCUCUGAUGUUAAGCCAUAUAAUUAAGACAUGUUCUUGUAAUUGGCAGAGUGCUUCACCAUGGGUUUAUUUAGUGUGUUUGAUGUCACUCCAAGUGCAAUUUACACAUGUGUUGGAGCAACAGCAGCUGUAAAUCGUGUAAUCAGUGUGAUGAUGGUGUGAUUGCUGCAUAGAGGAGGCAGUAAUGUCAGCCUCUCAGGUUCAUGAGACUCCUGGGCUUCAUAUUUUCUCUCCAUUCUCAUCCUAUUAGAGAUUCUGACCCUCCCCCUCCAUCCCCCUCUUUCUGCUAGCCUCUCUGCCAUCACCCCCCACACACACACACAUCUCCCCCUUACACACAUACACAGUGUUACUCUCUUUCCUAGACACACACACACACACACAAAUGCGUGAACCCGCUGCACUCGUACUCACUCUCCUUUUCCAUCCCUCACACGUUCACACACAUAUUAGCUCACAGACUGGCGUGUGUGAUUUUGUGUGUGUGUGUGCGGAGAGGGGGUUACUGAGCUCGUAGAAACGUGAGGCUGAAAAAAACGUGCCAGGGAAAAGAGAGAGAUGGAAGGAUGAACAGUAGAGAGAGUAAAAGAGGGGAGAGGGAAAGCAAGUUAAAUGAAAGCAAAGAGAGACGACUAGAGACAGUGAAGGCAGUGAAGUGAAGGAGUGUGUGAGUUUUAUGUGCGUAUGUGUUAGGAAGCAUGUGCACCGGGAGGUUUGGUGUGUAAGUGGGCAAGUAAGCAGGCUUCUCUCUCUUUUCUUCUUUAUUUUUCCCUUUUUUUCAGCUUUGGUGUGUGUAUGCAACAGCAGCCCAGCAGAGACAAAAGGUGAGGAGCUGCAUGGAUGUUGCUGUUAGUCAGGCAGGCAGGCAGGCAGGCGGGCAGGUAGGUAGGUAGAGAGCAGAAUAAUGGAAUCAAUACUAUUGUCUGUAACCUACCUGCCGCUGGGCUCGCUGUCUGGCCCCAGCACACACCAUCAGAGAGAGAGAGGGAGGGAGGAUACACAGACUCAUUCUGAAGAAAGAGAAGAAGAAGAAGCCAGCUGUAAGGUGACCGUCUUUCUCUUAUUUACAUUUUUACUACAACGGUUCAUGCAGAUAAACUAUAGGCUGUCUAUUCUGUUUGAAGAGCUGACAUGAAUUUAGAUCUAAAAGUUUUUCAUUCAGUGUUGGCUCUCUGUGCAUGUAUGCACGCACUCUUCUCUAUUUGUAGUAUCUAUCUGUCAUUCUGUUUGUUUUUGCACACGAUGAGUAUUUUAAAUAUUUGGUCUGCAUGUUGUCGAC
rnacentral:lncRNA from 1 species